AAUUUCGUGAACAUUGCCAAUUUAGACGAUAUUUCCAUUAAUGACCUAUGCACAAAACGUGAUAGGCUCAAUGUGGCUUUUAAAGAAUACGAAGCCCUAUGUAAAGAUAUUCUCGGUCUUGACUCCGCCGACGAGGAGGAUGUGGAGUCGGUGGAGGACAAUUAUUUUAAAACUUUAUCAGCCUUUGACAAACGCAUCAAGCCUCUUGAUUCAAACCCUUCAGGCUCUUCCACUCAUGAAAAAACACAUAAAACUAAAUUACCACCUAUAUCCAUAAAACCCUUUGAGGGCACAUACACAGAAUAUGUUCCAUUUAUCAAUUUAUUUAAUUCAUUAAUUCAUAAUGACAAAAGCCUAGACAAUAUACAAAAAUUCUAUUAUUUAAGAACAUUGUUAAAGGGUGAGCCAUUCGAUUUAGUCAAAAACUUGCCGGUCGAAGCUGUCAGUUAUGAUGCAGCUUUAAAUUUACUAAAAAAUAGAUAUGAAAAUAAAUAUAGAAUAAUCUCUGAGCACAUUUGCAAGCUAUUAGACUUAAAACAAAUAGUAAAAUCAACAGCAGUCUCACUCAGAGAAUUUAUUUCAACAGUUAGGCAGCAAAUAGCCGCCAUCAAAUAUCAAGAACCUAAUGUUAUAUACUGGGAUGCUAUAUUGUUGUGUAUUCUCUCUCGCAAACUAGACAGUUACACUGCGAAGGCCUACCAACUUGACCGGGAUAUGAAUGCUAAGCCGCAAUUGGAGGAUUUUCUCAAUUACAUUGAGAACCGAGCCAAUGCACUGGAGAAUGUCGAGCAGGGACAUCAACCCCAUCCUGGUAAUAGUAGCAGUAAGGUAGCAGCAGUCGCCACUACAGGAGCAACAUGCACUUACUGUAAGUCUUAUGAACAUAAAUUGUUUAACUGUAAAAAGUUUCAGUUAUUGCCUGCAAAUGAUAGAUACACAUUUGCCAAAGAAAAAAAAGUAUGUAUGAUUUGUUUAGGUCAGCAUGGUGGCAAAUGCAGGUUUCACUUCCGGUGCUCAGAGUGCAAGAAGCCUCAUAACACUCUGCUUCACUGCAAUUUAAGUGAAACCCCACCAGCUGUCACCUUAUCAAGUAAUGUUGAUAACAAUGUACUUUUGCCUACAGCUAAAAUCAAGGUAGUAGCAAGGGAUGGUACUCAAUACAUUAUCAAGGCGUUACUGGACAGCGGAUCUCAAGUUUCAUUUAUAACCACAAAGGUUGUUCAGCUAUUAGGAUUAACGCCCUUGCAAAGUGAUACUUGUAUUAUUGGAAUCACUAAUGAAAAGAGUAAUAUUAAGUACUGCAUUCCUAUUGAAAUUCAUUCAUUAAAUUCACCAUUCAAGACAACAGUAACUUGUCAUGUACUUAAAGAUGUUACAUGCAAAUUACCGCAAAACAAAUUUGAUGUCUCUAGGGUCAUUAUACCACCCAACAUUAUAUUGGCAGAUGACCAAUUUAAUGUUCCUAGUGAAAUCAACAUGUUAUUAGGGGCUGAUGUAUUUUUCCAGACGCUAUUGCCCAACGAGCAGUGCAUGACCAUCAGCCUGCCCAGCCACAGCAACCAGUCAUCAGCUGUGCCCCGGAGUGCUGCUCAUCCACCACAACAGCCUAGUAGCACACAGCUACACGUCUUCAACACAUACUUCGGGCACAUUGUAGGAGGGAAUCUGCCACCUAAGUGUUUCAGAAGGAGACUCGGCAGAUUUAAUCGGCUUUGCUGACGCUUCGAGUAAGACAGCCUACGGAUGCUGUGUGUACCUGCGAGUCACAGACCAAACAGACAAAAGGCCUUAGCAGCCAAGCAACUGAUGGGCUCCUUGCCGGCUGCACGUGUAACAGCCACCAGCAGGCCAUUUGAGAAAGUCGGCGUGGAUUUCGCUGGGCCAAUUGAUGUGAAACUCUCGC
rnacentral:misc_RNA from 1 species